rnacentral:lncRNA from 1 species
UUCCGAGAGGGGACAGACCAUUUUGACACCUCUUGUCUUUUGCAGCUUUGAGAGCCCUGAGAUUCAGCCCCUGCUUGGGACAUAGUGGCUAUAGGGAGAGUCUUCUCAGGCAGUGAACCGAGAAAGAAGGUUGCAUGGGGUCCUCCUGAGACACACCUAGGCACUCUGAAAAAUAUUUCAGUGAAACUUCUAUGGGGAAGUGCUGGAGGCCUGUGUCAGCAGGUGGGAGGCCCCAGUGACAUCUGUUAAUGUGGAUUCAUUUGUCCCUCUGGUGCUGGGCCUGAGCAAAUUUGGGAUGCACAUACAUCCUUUCAUUGGAUUCUUGUUAUAUCCCUUUGAGGUCAGCAUAGCAAGUACUGUAGACUCAUUUUUUUUUUUUUCUGCAGAGGAAGAAACUGAGGCUAAAGAACAAAAACUUGCUGAAGGUCACUCAGCUUGGGCUGUGGGACUUGUUUUCCUGCCCCGAGCCCAGCGUCCUUCCCACCAUCCAACACUGUUUCCUUUCUUGGUACCUCCAUUAUUAGAACACCUGGAUAUUCUUAGCUAACAAUGGAUGACAUAAAUAAACACACGGUCAUUUCCCCACAUUUCCGCACAGGUCCUCUGCAGAUGGCAGAGCCCUUUCUCUAAAUGCAUGGCAUGAAAAGGCAUUUCAAAGGUUGGAAAGAGAGCUUCAGCAUUAAUCAUGAUGGGAUAGCGGAAACUGGCUUUGCAAGGGAUGGACUGGACUUCAGGGAAGAUGGACAGCCUGAGCUCACUUUCAGGAGAGCUCACUUUCAGGAGAUCAGUCAGGGCUGUCAUUCCAGGGCCUGGGUGGAGGGCUUCUGCUGUGCCAGGGAACAGGUGUCUGGACUCGGUCUCCCAGGACAUUUCAGCAGAGGCCUCAAAGGCAGAACAAAAUAGUGCAAGGAGCCGCACAUCCGCACAGUGCUGAGACCCUGCCCAGGACAAGCUUGAUCCUGGCACCCAAGUGACAACCUGCAUUGAAAAGGCGGAACUUGGCUCUCCUGCCCUGCCAGCUGUAAGAGCUUGAAAGCAAAGCUAUGGGGGGAAUGUCUUUCAUUUCCCCCUGGAAGCUGGGAGGACGUUCAGCUUAGCAUUGCCAACUGUGUAAUGUGGACUUGCCUCUAAAAGAAGCCUUUUUCCUUGGAUGUCUUUCAGGCCGCAGUAUUCCCUUUGGCACCCCCACCCACCUGGAACAAAGCCUGAUGUAAAGUCUGGGUGCGACUCAGACCGGCCUGGGAAAGAAUUUAUUUAAUAAAUGGUGGAAAGUGGCUUC